GGAAGUAAAAAAUCGUAACAAGGUUUCCGUAGGUGAACCUGCGGAAGGAUCAUUACCGAGUUGAUUCGAGCUCCGGCUCGACUCUCCCACCCAAUGUGUACCUACCUCUGUUGCUUUGGCGGGCCGCGGUCCUCCGCACCGGCGCCCUUCGGGGGGCUGGCCAGCGCCCGCCAGAGGACCAUAAAACUCCAGUCAGUGAACUUCGCAGUCUGAAAAACAAGUUAAUAAACUAAAACUUUCAACAACGGAUCUCUUGGUUCUGGCAUCGAUGAAGAACGCAGCGAAAUGCGAUAAGUAAUGUGAAUUGCAGAAUUCAGUGAAUCAUCGAAUCUUUGAACGCACAUUGCGCCCCUUGGUAUUCCGAGGGGCAUGCCUGUUCGAGCGUCAUUUCAACCCUCAAGCUCUGCUUGGUAUUGGGCCCCGUCCUCCACGGACGCGCCUUAAAGACCUCGGCGGUGGCGUCUUGCCUCAAGCGUAGUAGAAAACACCUCGCUUUGGAGCGCACGGCGUCGCCCGCCGGACGAACCU
rnacentral:rRNA from 1 species